UCUCCGUAGGUGAACCUGCGGAAGGAUCAUUAUUGUAUAACCGACGUGCGAAGGCUUUCGCUCACCCGACAGGUCGUGCACGCCCAACUGCCCGCACACACAUACAUCUCACCCCUCUGUGCACCACCGCUUGGAUCCCCCUUCUACUUGUUCGGUGGGAGUCUUACGAUUUCACACACACUUUUUAUACAGUGUGAAAUCUAGUUUUUGUUUUUGCUAUCACGCGAUCCAUACAACUUUCAACAACGUAUCUCUUGCCUCUCUCAUCGAUUAAGAACC
rnacentral:misc_RNA from 1 species